rnacentral:rRNA from 1 species
GAUUUCUGGUUAAGUAACGCUAGCCCGCCCUUGCCAGGGGUGUGCGCUGGUUAGUUGCUUGCCAUCUUUCUAGAAAGCCAGCGCUGGUCAUUCAUUUGACCGACGUGACGCGAUCUAGAUCUUUUACUUUGAAAAAAUUAGAGUGUUUAAAGCAGGCUUACGCUAUGAAUACAUUAGCAUGGAAUAAUAAUAUAGGACUUUGGUUCUAUUUUGUUGGUUUCUAGGACUGAAGUAAUGAUUGAUAGGGAUAGUUGGGGGUGCUCGAAUUCAGCGGCCAGAGGUGAAAUUCUUGGAUUCGCUGAAGACGAACUCAUGCGAAAGCAUU